GAGUUUGAUCCUGGCUCAGGAUGAACGCUGGCGGCGUGCCUAAUACAUGCAAGUCGAGCGAACGGACGAGAAGCUUGCUUCUCUGAUGUUAGCGGCGGACGGGUGAGUAACACGUGGAUAACCUACCUAUAAGACUGGGAUAACUUCGGGAAACCGGAGCUAAUACCGGAUGAUAUUUUGAACCGCAUGGUUCAAAAGUGAAAGACGGUCUUGCUGUCACUUAUAGAUGGAUCCGCGCUGCAUUAGCUAGUUGGUAAGGUAACGGCUUACCAAGGCAACGAUGCAUAGCCGACCUGAGAGGGUGAUCGGCCACACUGGAACUGAGACACGGUCCAGACUCCUACGGGAGGCAGCAGUAGGGAAUCUUCCGCAAUGGGCGAAAGCCUGACGGAGCAACGCCGCGUGAGUGAUGAAGGUCUUCGGAUCGUAAAACUCUGUUAUUAGGGAAGAACAUAUGUGUAAGUAACUGUGCACAUCUUGACGGUACCUAAUCAGAAAGCCACGGCUAACUACG
rnacentral:rRNA from 1 species